CGGUAACAUUUCUAGCUUGCUAGAAGAUGACGAGUGGCGGACGGGUGAGUAAUGCUUGGGAACUUGCCUUUGCGAGGGGGAUAACAGUUGGAAACGACUGCUAAUACCGCAUAAUGUCUUCGGACCAAACGGGGCUUCGGCUCCGGCGCAAAGAGAGGCCCAAGUGAGAUUAGCUAGUUGGUAAGGUAACGGCUUACCAAGGCGACGAUCUCUAGCUGUUCUGAGAGGAAGGUCAGCCACACUGGGACUGAGACACGGCCCAGACUCCUACGGGAGGCAGCAGUGGGGAAUAUUGCACAAUGGGGGAAACCCUGAUGCAGCCAUGCCGCGUGUGUGAAGAAGGCCUUCGGGUUGUAAAGCACUUUCAGUUGUGAGGAAAAGUUAGUAGUUAAUACCUGCUAGCCGUGACGUUAACAACAGAAGAAGCACCGGCUAACUCCGUGCCAGCAGCCGCGGUAAUACGGAGGGUGCGAGCGUUAAUCGGAAUUACUGGGCGUAAAGCGCACGCAGGCGGUUUGUUAAGCUAGAUGUGAAAGCCCCGGGCUCAACCUGGGAUGGUCAUUUAGAACUGGCAGACUAGAGUCUUGGAGAGGGGAGUGGAAUUCCAGGUGUAGCGGUGAAAUGCGUAGAUAUCUGGAGGAACAUCAGUGGCGAAGGCGACUCCCUGGCC
rnacentral:rRNA from 1 species